AAGAUAGUUACAAAAUUUCCAAUCUUCUGUUGACAUGUCAACGUACUCAACACUACAGUCUUCAAACAUGAUCUGUUAGGGUGGGUUGUGCCGGAUGAGGGAAGAAUUAGAUAUGCGUGGUUUCCCCAAUUCUGACGUGUAUAUCCCUAAAAUUUGAGUUGCUGCUGUAUUCUCCCUCAGGCAGUUCUAAUCCUUACUACCGUCUCUUCUAUGCUCUUUUUUACUAUCAUUCCAGGGUAAUUCCAGACAGGUUGAAACUCAAAAAUUCGCACAAAUUUUUCGGUUCCUCAAAUUCCUUUUCUCAUCUCUUUUUCUGUUCUCUGGCACUAUUACGUUUAGCUGUGUUUUCUGUGGAUCUACUAUCCGUUGUAGUGGUAGACUAUAACGAACAUGUUAGUGGCGGCUCUUUUGCUGGCGUUUGUGACUCAGAAAUAGUACUACAAAAUGCUACUCUUCCAAACAGGAGAAAACAUCUCAUAGGAAGUUCGAGCACCCAAGCCAAAGCUCUUUGGGCAUUCUACCCAGAAAUAUCCAAUCUGGAAGUUUCGUUUCAACAGCCAAAAUACAUUGUUCGGAAGUUGGUAUCAGGAGAUUUAGACGUUGGUAUCGUUGGUCUCGACACACUCAAACAAGAGUCAAUUAUGGUCCAAACUUAAACUAAUUCUAUUAGUUGCUAGGGUAUUUAUACAAGCAAAAUCCUUGGAAUGGAUGCUCAGUGUAAGACUUUUUCUUUGGCAUGUAUAUUCUCUCUCAGACCUAUUUGCGAAACACUCUGUUAAUGCACAGGUCCGUUGUUAAAAGAUCACAAUAACUAUUGAAGGAAACAUAAGCUGAGGAGCAUCUCUCCUGAUAAAGGCAAGGAUGUAGAACAGACUGAAGACACAUAGGUAAGUACAUUGAGAACAGAACCUCACGAAAUUGGCUCAGCCAUCCUGAUAGAGAUGACGAAAGACUAGAGAAGUGUUCUGCUAAAGAGAGCUCAUUUAAUUUUGCUAUUGGUUCAUUGAAAAUAUUUCAGGCUUAGGUUUGAGCAUCAAAGCAGUUAGUAAUAGAUUAAUCUAAGAGGAAAAUAAAGUAUAACACCCAUAAAAAAGAUGCAUUCCGCUUGGUGAAGAAUGUGCCAUCCAGCAACUCCUACUGGCAAAUGGACAACUCCUUGUUAAUUCUUUUUAAUCAGUUUAAUGGAAAGAACAACCUUGCUUCACCUCAUGUUACAUGUACCUGCUUCUAGGACUUGGGAUAUUCUCAUUUUGUCUCCCGAAGAUACAUCUGAAAUAGUACGAAUGUUUUGACGCUUUUUUAUUGUAUCAUGUUAAAUUUAUUAUUUGUUGUCUGUCACGAUGAACAGGAAAGAAAAAAGGGAAUUCUUCAAACUGAAUCUUAAUAUUAACAUUUAAACAGUAAUCCUUAUAAAAAAUUUAACAUUUAUUUAAACAAUAAUAUCCAAAGUGAUACCAUAAUUAGCUUAUUGAUAGUUCUCCUUGACCAAGUUGUUGAACAGCUCAGUACUUCCUUGCUUGCGGCAAUAAAAGUUACUUUUGAAGGAGAUAGCAGACACAGAUCAUAGCACUAUUUUCCUGUUUUAACUAAAUUUCCAGAAAGUUAAGUUUUAGCAAUGGUGCCUAUGCUUUUGAUGGAGUAGUGCAGCAGAGAAAUAAGUUAAUGCAUCUACCAUGUUUAGUUGAUAUCUUUUACUUUGUAUUGAGUCAUGUAGUAUGAAACGGUGAAGUCAUUGAGGCCAAUAGUUAGAUUUGUUCUUCUUACGUAUGAUAAUGUGAAAAGUAGAAUUAAAUCAAUUAAUGCUAUUUUAUUUGGUGUCUUCUCAUAGGUUAAGAUUUGGCAUAAUUGAAGCUUUCAGCCUAUCUGCAGUAGCAGAUGAUAUAUCUAAUAUAUAUGUUAUAUUGGGUGCAGUGUAGGAGUUCUUUUUUUUUCAAAUGAAUUUUCUUGGUAUACAUAGGUGUUAAUUUUUCCAAUAUUUAACCUUACUCUAUCUCAUAACUUUGUUCUAAUGGAACUUUCCACGAUAAAUUCAGCAUUAGCUCGCAACAAUGCUAGCUUCGGUUGUGGCAUAGUUGGGGAAACCUAUAAGGAAAUACUAACAAUUGCCUUUGCUUAUAACAUUCCUGUAGUAGCUCCGUAGUCUUCUAUUUCUCUCCCACACAAGCAAGCUCAUUCUUUGCCGACAUUGUCAUUAUAACUUUACUUACAGCAGAUAGCUUUGUUCAUGUUGGCCCGGGCUUUACUCGGGCAACCCUUACUACUGCUAUUAUUCCUCUUACUAAUAAAGGACAGUUGAGGAGCUUGGGGUCGUCAAGGACAUUUUGGGAAAACUGCAACUUUUUUUAACAGACGUGGAAUCCGUAGUUUCCCCGGUUCUGACGUGCGCCUCUACUGCUCUUUAUCCAGGCCAGCACUGGAAUUUUGAGUGCUUUUCUGCUAAUAUCAAAACCUCUGCAAGAUUAUCUCCAAAAUACCCGGUAAUUGAGAUUACUUUUGGUGGUUUUAGCUAUAACUCAUAAACAUUAUGCAGUCAGAAUUUCUUCGCCGAAAAGUUAUUUUCUAAUUGUAAUCUUUUACAUAUUCUUCCUUACGUAUUUUAUGCAAGAUGAGGUUCAUUUAAAACACCUUGAGCACUACCGCACCGUGCACGUUUAAGGUGUUUGAUUAUAUGCGUGAAACCACUAAUAAUAUUUUGUUGUAUUUUUUUUUCAACAGAUUUUUUGCAACAUUCAAAUCUAUCAUUCAACAACUUAAAAGGCACAUAAUUUACUUCUAUUUGACUUUACAAUUUGGUCCUCUACAUAAGAUUCUGUUGUCCUAUUUAUAGAAUAAACAUAUUAUGUGCAUGAAUAGCUGGUCUUAAGAGUUGCUUAAGUCCUUCUCCAUUUCCCCUUCAUGUCUUGAUCACCCUGCUUCGUAACGACUUACUGAUCGCUGCACUUUGCGUGUCAAUAUUCAAAGAUUGCUUUUUUCGUUUUACUAAAAAAAGUAGUAAGCAUGGAUUAUAGCAAUGAUAUGAGUUAUGUCACCCGUGUAUGGGAUCUGACCAAUUUCUUCCGUAUAACCUCGGAUUGGGCCAUGAUGGAAGAGUACUUUUUAUGAUAGUCAUAUUAACAGCUGUGAAGCUGAGACAUCGAUGCCCACACAAAUAUGACAGAUGUGGCUGUUGAUCCUAAACGCUGAAAAAUAAGGACUUGCCUUUUAGUGGAAACAUAUCCAUGUAAUUUCAAGUUGAAUUCUUACUUAUCAAAAAAAUUCAACUUGAAGUCUUUAAAUUUUCAAAGCAGGAUGACUGAGAUAAACAAUGGGGAUGGAUCUGACUUAUGAAAAAACUCAACACUGGGUAUCUAAAAGAUAAAUUAUAUGUAUAUAUAUUUUAUUACUGGAUGAGAAAUAAACAAGUAGAUUCUGUUAGUAUGUUCAAUAAGUAUUUAAUGAGGUAAUUCUGUUCAAUUAGCAAUGGAAAGAACAAGUGAGAGAGAAAUUGAUAUAAACAAAAUCAAAGUAAUGGAAGUGCAUAGAAAACAGUUCUUAGUGAAAAAGUUGAGUUCAGUUCGUUCUUCUUCUUCAUUCCCUUUUCCCUUUCUUAAGAAAAAUAAGUGCAGCAUGUUUCUAUUUGAUUAUGGAGAUCUACCAUUGUUGUAUAUGUAGACAUAUAUUGUUAAUGCCAUAAGAAAAUGCAAUGUGUAGUUUGUUGUUGCUUUGUUAGCUGAAGUUCAUACUCAUAUAUAAUUGUGAAGGAGCUUAUCCCUUAAACUAGAAAUUGUUGUCUCGACACACAACUAGAGUUCUUUUGCUGUUGAUAAGUCACAUAAAUUACCGUAAUUUAUAGAUGAAUUUGACCGCACCACCAAAUAAUCCUUAAAAGAGUUCGAAACAUUCUCUUUCAGUAAACUAAGGGUCCUAUAAUUGACACCUAUAUUUUUUUAUUAAAAAAAAUUGAGUCCUCUGACUGAACAUGUUGAUUGACAUGCUUAUGGAUAGGCUUCUCAUCUUCGUGGAGUUAUCCUGUUAAUAUAUGCUCUUUAUGCACCGAAUUCUUCUGAGAUACAACUACAUGUUUUCUUUUAGGAGGAAACACAAAUUACAUGCAAGGUGUUUAAAAAUAGGUACAGAAAGUGUAGUUGAAAACUCUAUGCCUUACAUUUAAAUGUGCAGAGACUUAAAAAACCAGAUACAGAAGAUGUUAGAAGGUCAAAGUAUCUUUGUGACCACAACUUAGGUGAGUUAUUAGUCAAAUAGAUAUUUCAACGUUGUACUUGGGUCUCCAACUCCUUAUUUGAGACUGCACUUUUCCUUACGAAUCUUGUGAACAGGAGGGCUAUCAAGAUUGGCAAUUCGUCCCGACUUGCUACUCUUCUUGAAUUUUUUUGUUGCUUCAACAUUAACUGCUGCCUUGAAAAAUCUCUCUUCGGUUUUUCUUGUUUUUACAUUUAAAAUCUGAAAUUUUUUGCUGUAAUAAUGCCAAUCCAAUAUAGUGGAAGAUCUCACGCUCGAAAACUCUGCAUUCCAUAUUUGUGACAUUUUUUUGUUGCUUGCAGAUAUUUGGGAACAUUAUUUUCAUUACUAACAUCCUUUGUUAGAGAGUGUUUUUCUCUCCUCACCAGUAUUCAUUCUCGCGACAAAUAAUCAGUGGCAUACCUUUGAAGAUGGAGUUUGACGCUUGCGUAUCUAUACAGUAGCUUUGUCAUUGAAGAUGAAGUUUGACACUUGUGGCAUACCUUUGAAGAUGGAGUUUGAUGCAUACUUUGUCAGAAAUAUAAAUACUGCUUCAAUGUAACUACUCGUGUGGAUGUCUCUAUAUCUACAAAAUCAAACAUUCUCCUACAUUUUGGUUUUGCUGUGAUUAGUGCAAUUAGAUUGUCUUUCCUGUUAGCUGCAUGAAGUGUUCUUCUAUAUCUGCUAUGAACUUGAUUUGCCA